rnacentral:rRNA from 1 species
UACGAAGGGGGCUAGCGUUGCUCGGAAUUACUGGGCGUAAAGGGAGCGUAGGCGGAUAUUUAAGUCGGGGGUGAAAGCCCAGGGCUCAACCCUGGAACUGCCUUCGAUACUGGAUAUCUAGAGUAUGGGAGAGGGUAGUGGAAUUCCCGGUGUAGCGGUGAAAUGCGUAGAUAUCGGGAGGAACAUCAGUGGCGAAGGCGGCUACCUGGCCCAAUACUGACACUCAGGUGCGACAGCGUGGGGAGCAAACAGG